UACAGAGGGUGCGAGCGUUACUCGGAAUUACUGGGCGUAAAGCGCACGUAGGCGGGGAUGUAAGUCGGGGGUGAAAUCCCAGGGCUCAACCCUGGAACUGCCUUCUAGACUGCAGGCCUCGAGGGCAGGAGAGGCGAGUGGAAUACCGAGUGUAGAGGUGAAAUUCGUAGAUAUUCGGUGGAACACCAGUGGCGAAGGCGACUCGCUGGACUGAUACUGACGCUGAGGUGCGAAAGCGUGGGGAGCAAACAGG
rnacentral:rRNA from 1 species